rnacentral:rRNA from 1 species
UUCGGAUUGUAGUCUGCAACCCGACUACAUGAAGCUGGAAUCGCUAGUAAUCGCAGGUCAGCAUACUGCGGUGAAUACGUUCCCGGGUCUUGUACACACCGCCCGUCACACCAUGGGAGCCGGAAAUGCCCGAAGCCAGUGACCCAACCUUAGGGAGGGAGCUGUCGAAGGUGGAGCCGGUAACUGGGGUGAAGUCGUAACAAGGUAUC